UUGAGUUUGUGAGUUUUUAAAAUUAUUAAAAUUUUAAAAAGACAUCUCCCUUUUCUGCAGUGCACCUGAUACACCAGAGACCCAAAUUCAGAAGCUCCAUGCAAGUUGUAAGAAAUGUGGCUUUAGGAAGCAUUUUGGGACUCUUCUCCACAACUGAAAGUAAUGUAGAGCCCACAAGGUCCCAAUUGGCUGUAUGUCAGAGGAAUCCACAAGCCUCCAAAAGUCAUUUUUGUUGUCACUUCCAUCAAGCCGCAACCUUAAUCUGGCACCAGUGAUUCCAAUUACUGUAGCUAUACACACUGAGGGUCAGAAGUGAGGAGCAGGUGGAAGGCUCCUUGGCAGUUCAGAGAGCAGUUGGUGAAGAGUGGCUCACCGAGACAGGGUGCCUGGGUUAGUCAGAGUGUUGCUGGAGUACUCUUUGGAGACCAUGUAGUGCUAGAGCACUAGCAGUUGGAGCACCGACAUCCCUUGCCUAAGAAUAGCACAGCUGAGGAUCACUGUGCCAUGGCACUGCCGGACUCCACAAGAGAGCAAUGAUUAUACUGAGAAUGGUGAAACAUACUACAAUGAUUACCUUCUGGCAAAAAAUUACAAGCAAU